rnacentral:rRNA from 1 species
AGUGAACGCUGGCGGCAUGCCUAACACAUGCAAGUCGAACGGCAGCACAGCAGUAGCAAUACUGUGGGUGGCGAGUGGCGGACGGGUGAGGAACACAUCGGAAUUUGCCCAGUCGUGGGGGAUAACGUAGGGAAACUUACGCUAAUACCGCAUACGACCUAACGGUGAAAGCGGGGGAUCGCAAGACCUCGCGCGGAUGGAUAAGCCGAUGUCGGAUUAGCUAGUUGGCGGGGUAAAAGCCCACCAAGGCGACGAUCCGUAGCUGGUCUGAGAGGAUGAUCAGCCACACUGGGACUGAGACACGGCCCAGACUCCUACGGGAGGCAGCAGUGGGGAAUAUUGGGACAAUGGGGGCAACCCUGAUCCAGCAAUGCCGCGUGUGUGAAGAAGGCCUUCGGGUUGUAAAGCACUUUUAUCGGGAACGAAACAUUGUCGGUGAAUAUCCGGCAAGACUGACGGUACCCGAGGAAUAAGCACCGGCUAACUUCGUG